UAUUAGCCCCGAUUGCAGUAAAAACCCUUUAUUUCAAGAUCUUUCUUAUCCUAAAUAAAGUUUGCAACGUCCCGAUAAUUAUCGGAAAACGGG
rnacentral:sRNA from 1 species